rnacentral:rRNA from 1 species
UACGUAGGUGGCAAGCGUUGUCCGGAAUCGUUGGGCGUAAAGAGCGUGUAGGCGGUCCGGUAAGUCCGCUGUGAAAGUCGGGGGCUCAACCCUCGAAUGCCGGUGGAUACUGUCGGGCUAGAGUGCGGAAGAGGCGAGUGGAAUUCCUGGUGUAGCGGUGAAAUGCGCAGAUAUCAGGAGGAACACCUAUUGCGAAGGCAGCUCGCUGGGACGUAACUGACGCUGAGACUCGAAAGCGUGGGGAGCAAACAGG